AUCCAUAUAUCUCCUGCUUUCUUUCCAUCUUGGUCCCCUCCUAUAGCUCUGUGUUUGGUGCUAGGAGCCUUCUCACCUCUGUCUUUCCCAGGAGAUCAACAUCUGGUGUCUCUUAGGUAUGAAGCAAACAACCCGAUGCAACCAGAGAACACACUGCCUGAAUGACACAGUCUGCAUCCAAGUGACUAAGACCUAUGGGCAAAUGGAGACUGUGCCAGAAGUAUCCAUUACUGGCAAAGGCCAGCUCUGCUGCGUAAUGGUGUACUAUCCAGUGAAUGGGUACAUGAAGAUGAAACAGACAAGAUCUACCAUGGAACCUCUCUACCACCACAUGCAAAAUAUUGCCAUGGCAGUUUCCUGAGGAAAUGACUUUGAUUUGCCCUUGAAAAAGUCCUUCAGUGAGUUCUAGACCCCUUUUUGUAAAUCACUGUGCUUGGAGACUGAUAAAUAAUUAGCAGAGAUUUUCCUAGGCAUUUGCCAUACCUAAUUCAUUUCUGGCCACCCAGGGAGGUCUUGAAUCUAAACUUCAAGGAGAAAGAGAAACCAAGAGUGGUACCCCAUGAUUAUUCUCCCAUUUAAGGUAUUAUAUACUUCAUUAUAUUUAGUAAGGGCUAAUAAGACUAUCUCCAGCUGGGAGCAUCAAGGGUUGUCCCAAGGUUUGGGUGUUCAACCAAAGUAACCCUGCCUUACCAUGGAGACCCCUUAUGGAAGGAGCUUUAGGCAUUCUAGGAGACUUUUAAAUCCAGACUGGGCAAUGGCAAGUCUUCAUUGAUUGCCUAACCCUAAACCAUAGCAAAAGUAGCUGCCUGUUGACUUGGUCUUUCUCUUCCAAUCUAUAGGCCCUCUGUUGGUUUUAUAUAUAUAUAUAUAUAUAUUUUUUUUUUUUUUCACCUUCUAUGCUCUGUCCUGCCCCCUUGAUUUUUCCUUACAUUUAACUUUGCUCUUGGCCCAUGCUAUACUGGCUCUGCACAUUUGCUCAUCAAUGCAUAGAAUGAACAAUUCUCCCUCCUCCCGAAUUGAAAUUCUUCUCUUCCUUGAAGGUUCAUAUCAGGUGUCUAUCCUCUGUGAAAGCUUUCCUGAUCCCACCAUUUGUAAAUGAUCAAGUCAAAUGGUCCACUUGUCAUCUCUCCU
rnacentral:lncRNA from 1 species